GACGAACGCUGGCGGCGUGCUUAACACAUGCAAGUCGAACGGAAAGGCCUCUUUCGGGGGGUACUCGAGUGGCGAACGGGUGAGUAACACGUGAGUAACCUGCCCUUGACUUUGGGAUAACUUCAGGAAACUGGGGCUAAUACCGGAUAGGAGCUCCUGCUGCAUGGUGGGGGUUGGAAAGUUUCGGCGGUUGGGGAUGGACUCGCGGCUUAUCAGCUUGUUGGUGGGGUAGUGGCUUACCAAGGCUUUGACGGGGAGCCGGCCUGAGAGGGUGACCGGCCACAGUGGGACUGAGAUACGGCCCAGACUCCUACGGGAGGCAGCAGUGGGGAAUAUUGCACAAUGGGUGGAAGCCUGAUGCAGCAACGCCGUGUGCGGGAUGACGGCCUUCGGGUUGUAAACCGCUUUCGCUCAUGACGAAGCUUUGUGUGACGGUAGUGGGUAAAGAAGCACCGGCUAACUACGUG
rnacentral:rRNA from 1 species